CGGACUGCAGUCUGCAACUCGACUGCACGAAGCUGGAAUCGCUAGUAAUCGCGGAUCAGCACGCCGCGGUGAAUACGUUCCCGGGCCUUGUACACACCGCCCGUCAAGCCAUGGGAGCCGGGGGUACCUGAAGUGCGUAACCGCGAGGAGCGCCCUAGGGUAAAACUGGUGACUGGGGCUAAGUCGUAACAAGGUAAC
rnacentral:rRNA from 1 species